AGCAGCCGCGGUAAUUCCAGCUCCAAUAGCGUAUAUUAAAAGUUGUUUGCAGUUAAAAAGCUCGUAGUUGAAUUUCGGGAUUAGUACGCUGGUCGUGCCUUUGGUAUGUACUGGUGUUACUGAUUCCUACCUUCUGACGAACCGUCAUGUCAUUAAUUUGGUGUGGCGGGGAAUCAGGACUGUUACUUUGAAAAAUUAGAGUGUUUAAAGCAGGCUCGCGCUUGAAUACAUUAGCAUGGAAUAAUGAAAUAGGACGUUCGAUCCUAUUUUGUUGGUUUCUAGGAUUGACGUAAUGAUUAAUAGGGAUAGUUGGGGGCAUUAGUAUUCAAUUGUCAGAGGUGAAAUUCUUGGAUUUAUUGAAGACUAACUACUGCGAAAGCAUUUGCCAAGGAUGUUUUCAUUAAUCAAGAACGAAAGUUAGGGAUCGAAGACGAUCAGAUACCGUCGUAG
rnacentral:rRNA from 1 species